rnacentral:rRNA from 1 species
AACGUAGGGGGCGAGCGUUGUCCGGAUUUAUUGGGCGUAAAGCGAGCGCAGGUGGUUUAAUAAGUCUGAUGUAAAAGGCAGUGGCUCAACCAUUGUGUGCAUUGGAAACUGUUAGACUUGAGUGCAGUAGAGGAGAGUGGAAUUCCAUGUGUAGCGGUGAAAUGCGUAGAUAUCGGGAGGAACACCAGUGGCGAAGGCGACUUUCUGGUCUGUAACUGACACUGAGGCGCGAAAGCGUGGGGAGCAAACAGG